rnacentral:rRNA from 1 species
UGGGGAAUUUUGCACAAUGGGGGAAACCCUGAUGCAGCGACGCCGCGUGAUUUAGAAGGCCUUCGGGUUGUAAAAAUCUUUUCUAUGGGAAGAAAAUGACAGUACCAUAGGAAUAAGGACCGGCUAAUUACGUGCCAGCAGCCGCGGUAAUACGUAAGGUCCGAGCGUUGUCCGGAAUCAUUGGGCGUAAAGCGAGCGCAGGCGGUUAGAUAAGUCUGAAGUUAAAGGCAGUGGCUCAACCAUUGUAGGCUUUGGAAACUGUUUAACUUGAGUGCAGAAGGGGAGAGUGGAAGUCCAAGUGUAGCGGUGAAAUGCAUAGAUAUAUGGAAGAACACCGGUGGCGAAAGCGGCUCUCUGGUCUGUAACUGACGCUGAGGCUCGAAAGCGUGGGAAGCGAACAGG